rnacentral:ncRNA from 1 species
UAAAGAUAGAGGUGCGGUUUUAAUAAGUAGCCUUACUAUUGCUUUUCGGCAGCGAAUAUAGUCUGGCAAAAGGUAACACCGCCGAAGGCUUGCUGCAGCCGAAAGCUUAAGGCCUGGGCGAAUGAAAUAAUAUUUCUUCGACUGUCAUUAUGUAUUUAAUGGAGAGCUAUCUG